rnacentral:rRNA from 1 species
GAAAUUCCUGUACUACGGUAUGAAAGAAAUGUGGGGACGCAUGUGGAGAGCAUGAGCCGGGAAAGGAAAGACCGGUGCAAGCGGGACAGUAGCCAUGCAGGCAAAUCCGUGUGGCAAUACGAAGACGUGACGCGGACCGGAAUAAAGUAGGGAAGCACGUGAGCCAUGUGCCAAGAAAAGCCGCUAUAGAUCAUACCGUACCCGUACCGUAAACCGACACAGGUAGAUGAGGAGAGAAUCCUAAGGCCGACGGGAGAAGCAUUGUUAAGGAACUCGGCAAAAUGACCCCGUAACUUCGGGAGAAGGGGUGCCCACGCGAGUGGGCCGCAGAGAAUAGGCUCAAGCAACUGUUUAGCAGAAACACAGGUCUAUGCGAAACCGAAAGGUGAGGUAUAUGGGCUGACGCCUGCCCGGUGCUGGUAGGUUAAGAGGAGGAGUCAGGCAACGAAGCUCCGAAUUUAAGCCCCAGUAAACGGCGGCCGUAACAAUAACGGUCCUAAGGUAGCGAAAUUCCUUGUCGGGUAAGUUCCGACCCGCACGAAAGGCGUAAUGAUUUGAGCACUGUCUCGACAAUGCACCCGGUGAAAUUGAAGUACCAGUGAAGAUGCUGGUUACCUGCGCCAGGACGGAAAGACCCCAUGGAGCUUUACUCCAGUUUGAUACUGGGAUUCGAUACUGAAUGUACAGGAUAGGUGGGAGGCUGAGAAGCGUGGACGCCAGUCCGCGGUGAGCCGCUGUUGGGAUACCACCCUUUGAGUAUUGGAUUUCUAACCUGCGCCCGUGACCCGGGCGGGGGACAAUGUCUGACGGGGAGUUUGACUGGGGCGGUCGCCUCCGGAAGGGUAUCGGAGGCGCUCAAAGGCUCCCUCAGAAUGGUUGGAAACCAUUCGCAGAGUGCAAAGGCAGAAGGGAGCUUGACUGUGACACCGACGGGUGGAGCAGGUACGAAAGUAGGACUUAGUGAUCCGGUGGUAUGAAAGUGGGAUUGCCAUCGCUCAUCGGAUAAAAGCUACCCUGGGAUAACAGGCUUAUCACUCCCAAGAGUUCACAUCGACGGAGUGGUUUGGCACCUCGAUGUCGGCUCAUCGCAUCCUGGGGCUGUAGCAGGUCCCAAGGGUUGGGCUGUUCGCCCAUUAAAGCGGUACGCGAGCUGGGUUCAGAACGUCGUGAGACAGUUCGGUCCCUAUCCGGCGCAGGCGUAGGAUAUUUGAGAGGAGCUGUCCUUAGUACGAGAGGACCGGGAUGGACAGACCGCUGGUGUACCUGUUGGUGACCAACACCAUGGCAGAGUAGCCAAGUCUGGCAGGGAUAAACGCUGAAGGCAUCUAAGCGUGAAGCCCCCCUCAAGAUGAGAUAUCCCAAUAAGUAAGACCCCUUAGAGAGUGUGAGGUAGAUAGGCUUAAGGUGUAAGCAUAGUAAUAUGUUCAGCUGAUAAGUACUAAUAGGUCGAGGGCUUACC